UUUAAAUGUAUUACAGCUAGGCCAAAAGGUGAAGCAGGGACACGAAGGCAUUCCAGUGUGCAGUCUCUGUAAAACCCACCAGAACCAGUUCAUAAUAAGUGAUCUCUCAUCAGAAGAAAGUUACAGAAAUCAGUCUGUUGUCCAAUCAAGGCUCGUGGAACAGGGUGUCAGUUAGUGAGCAUCUGGUGGAACUCCUAAAGAAGAAAUCAUCCAUUCAGUGAGAGCAAAUGAACACUCCAACAGACUGAAACAAAGCAUCUUUACAGGAGAUGUGAAUGCGAGAAAGCAAAGAGAACUACAGUCAGGGUCUCCGCUGGCAUGGCCCAAGCCCACCGUGGCAUGAUCCAGAGAGACGAGUCAGCAGAGCACUAUGGGCAGCUCCCAUACUCUUCGCAGAUCAACAAGCCAGCAUAUAACCCAGGGAGAUAGAUAAUAGUGAUGCUGUGCUCUGUAGAGGGUAGUGGCAACAGUGGGAUUUCUUCUGGAAUAAAUCUGUAGUGAGCCAGAUGUUUCUGCUGACUAUAUUACUUCUGACAGUGUAUAAUCCAAAAUUGUUUCCUUGGCCUUCCAAAAAGUUUUAUAAGCUCCCUAACGGCUGCAAUAAAUCCCUUUCUUCUUAAACUAGCUAGAGUGGAUUUUUGUUCUCUACAAAACAGAUCCUGCCACUAAGAACCCCACUAGUAUUUGUUGCCAUGAUUAGGGAAUAAGUUAAACCACUGUAA
rnacentral:lncRNA from 10 species